rnacentral:lncRNA from 10 species
UUUUAGUAGAGACGGGGUUUCACCGUGUUGGCCAGGAUGGUCUCCAUCUCUUGACGUCGUGAUCCACCCGCCUCGGCCUCCCAAAGUGCUGGGAUUACAGGCGUGAGCCACCGCACCCGGCCGAUAUUACAAAAUCUUUUCCUGACACGAACCUGGCGGCUUAGGACAACACACACUUACUCUCUCACAGUUCCUGAGGCUGGAAGUCCAGAAGUCGGGGUGCUGGCAGGACGUGCUCUUCUGAAGCCUCCAGGGCAGGGCCAGCCGCAUGCCCGUCUCCUCGCUUGGGCACCUGCCAGCGGUCCCCGGCGGUCCCCGGCUCAUUGCUGCAUGGCUCCAACGUCCGCCUCUCCCACCAUGUGGCCUCCUCCUGGUGUCUCUGUGUCCAAAUCUCCCGCUCUGUCUAAGGAUAACAGUCACUGGUCAUGGGACCCAUCCUAAUCCAGGGUGACCUCGUAUUAACCUCAUCACAUCUGCAAAGACUAUUUCCAAGUCAAGCCACACUCCCAGCUGCUGGGGGCGGGACUUGAACAUAUUUUUUGUGGGGACACAAUUCCCCUCUCAGGUUUUAAGAUUUGUCUUUAUCAUUAAAGUUUUCAAAACUAACUAUCAUGUGU